rnacentral:rRNA from 1 species
CUUUAUUAAUAAUAGAAAUUAAUUUUUUAGUUAAAAAGCUAAAAUUUAUUUAAAAGACGAGAAGACCCUAUAGAGUUUUAUAUUUAAAUUUAUAUUAAUUUUUUAUAAAAUUUAUAUUUAAUAUUUUUUUAAUUAUUUUAUUGGGGUGAUAGAAAAAUUUAUUAAACUUUUUUUAAAAUUUUUACAUUAAUAUAUGAAAUUUUGAUCCAUAAUUUAUGAUUAAAAGAUUAAAUUACCUUAGGGAUAACAGCGUAAUUUUUUUUUUUAGUUCUUAUAAGAAAAAAAGUUUGCGACCUCGAUGUUGGAUUAAGAUAAAAUUUAAAUGCAAAAGUUUAAAAUUUUGAUCUGUUCGAUCAUUAAAAUCUUACGUGAU